CCUACGUGAGGCAGCCGUGAGGAAUAUUGGUCAAUGGGCGCGAGCCUGAACCAGCCAAGUAGCGUGAAGGAUGACUGCCCUACGGGUUGUAAACUUCUUUUAUAAAGGAAUAAAGUGAGGCACGUGUGCCUUUUUGUAUGUACUUUAUGAAUAAGGAUCGGCUAACUCCGUGCCAGCAGCCGCGGUAAUACGGAGGAUCCGAGCGUUAUCCGGAUUUAUUGGGUUUAAAGGGAGCGUAGAUGGGUUGUUAAGUCAGUUGUGAAAGUUUGCGGCUCAACCGUAAAAUUGCAAUUGAUACUGGCAGUCUUGAGUACAGUUGAGGUAGGCGGAAUUCGUGGUGUAGCGGUGAAAUGCUUAGAUAUCACGAAGAACUCCGAUUGCGAAGGCAGCUUACUAAACUGCCACUGACAUUGAUGCUCGAAAGUGUGGGUAUCAAACAGGAUUAGAUACCCUUGUAGUC
rnacentral:rRNA from 1 species